rnacentral:rRNA from 1 species
GACGAACGCUGGCGGCGUGCUUAACACAUGCAAGUCGAACGGAAAGGCCCUGCUUUUGUGGGGUGCUCGAGUGGCGAACGGGUGAGUAACACGUGAGUAACCUGCCCUUGACUUUGGGAUAACUUCAGGAGACUGGGGCUAAUACCGGAUAGGAGCUCCUGCUGCAUGGUGGGGGUUGGAAAGUUUCGGCGGUUGUGGAUGGACUCGCGGCUUAUCAGCUUGUUGGUGGGGUAGUGGCUUACCAAGGCUUUGACGGGUAGCCGGCCUGAGAGGGUGACCGGCCACAUGGGGACUGAGAUACGGCCCAGACUCCUACGGGAGGCAGCAGUGGGGAAUAUUGCAGAAUGGGCGGAAGCCUGAUGCAGCAACGCCGCGUGCGUGAUGACGGCCUUCGGGUUGUAAACCGCUUUCGCCUGUGACGAAGCGUGAGUGACGGUAAUGGGUAAAGAAGCACCGGCUAACUACGUG